UACGUAGGGGGGCAAGCGUUGUCCGGAUUUAUUGGGCGUAAAGAGCGUGUAGGCGGCCAUACAGGUCAGCUGUGAAAACUCGAGGCUCAACCUCGAGACGUCGGUUGAAAACCGUAUGGCUAGAGUCCGGAAGAGGAGAGUGGAAUUCCCCGGUGUAGCGGUGAAAUGCGCAGAUAUCGGGAAGAACACCCGUGGCGAAGGCGGCUCUCUGGGCCUUACCUGACGCUGAGGAGCGAAAAGCGUGGGUAGCGAACAGG
rnacentral:rRNA from 1 species